AUACUCUUGUUUCUCUUCAUAUCAUAUAAAUCUUUCAGCUUUUUCUAAAGAUUUCCAUGGAGAGGAACAAGGAAGAGUUCAGAACUAAUUUUUUUCAGUCCUGCUCUGCAGGACU
ensembl:snRNA U5 U5 spliceosomal RNA